rnacentral:rRNA from 1 species
UACGGAGGGUGCAAGCGUUAUCCGGAUUCACUGGGUUUAAAGGGUGCGUAGGAGGGCAGGUAAGUCCGUGGUGAAUCUCUGAGCUUAACUCGGAAACUGCCAUGGAUACUAUCCGUCUUGAAUGCGGUGGAGGUGAGCGGAAUAUGUCAGUGUAGCGGUGAAAUGCUUAGAUGAUGACAUAGAACACCGAUUGCGAAGCAGCUCGCUACACCAUGCAUU